GCUCUAACCACUAGGCGCUAAAUAAGCGUCUGUACCUUUCUAAUUCUGUCAAAGCCCCAUUUGUGUCACAGCCGCAGGAACUGAAGGAGUCCGGAGGACAUGCGGAUGUUGACAGUCACUUACCAGUGGCUCAGAAUGGAGCACACUUCACUUUAUGUGAUACUCUAAACAGCAACCCCACCUGAGGCAGAUUCAGUCUGAAGCCAGGCACAUCCCAGGUCCUUGAGAGGGUAGGGAUGGAGGGAUUGAGGGAUGGAAUGAUGGAAGGAUGAAG
rnacentral:lncRNA from 1 species